CUUAUGUCUAUAUUGAUGGAUUUUAGAUCCAAUCGAAUGGGUACAUUGAUGGAUUUUUGAUCCAACCCGAUUGGCGGUGCGUCUUUUGGGGAGCGGGAUCACUUUUUUUUUUGAAGAAAAAAAAGGACGCCGGAAACGGCUCAAUCUAACUCGCGCCCUCUGCAUCACCCCGUUACCAUUCUCCACUGCUCUCUCCAUUUCCAUCCCUCCCUUUUUAAAUCUCUCCAAAGAUAUUGAAUCGUUGGUCGCCGCUUCUGCUCCUACCUUCCUUCGACUUCUCUCUUUCUCUCUAAUUUUGGGGUUUUUUUGUUUUAAUUUUUCUGCUACGAAUUUAUUUUGUUAAUUAAGCCAAUCGGUAGCAGUUUCUUUAAAUUUCGAGAAGGGGAUUUUGGGAAGAUGGGUUCGGUUCGGAAAAACGGUGGAUGAAUAGGCUUGUCGAGGAGGUUGCUGCCUGCAAUUUCAUUUGGGAUCCCGUGAUCGUCGACGGCACCAGCGCCUCAAGGAGGACCACCGUGCAGGUGAUGCUUGCUUUAAGAAACGGUACAAGCCAGCUUUCACUUCCCGACUACAAAUGUGUUUUGAUCCUACCAUCCUUGUUUUACCGCGUACCAUCAAAAGGGGAAGUCAAUAAAUAUAUCAAUGUUUGUUUCUAUGCUUUUUCCAGCCAUAAAUAUUGUCUGAUGUUUGUUUAUCUGCCUUUCCUUGCCUUGUACUCUAUUUUGGCUAUUUAAUUGUUUGUUACUAAACCAGUAUGCUUUGUUUAGUAACUAGUUCAGUUUUGUAACAUUUUCUCUAACCAUAUUAUUUUAAUAUAUAUAUGCGUGUGCGCACGCACGCUAUGCACGUACGUGCGCGUGUGUGUAUGUGCCUAUUGUAUUUAGUAUGAACUUGCUAAGCCUUGUGUAUUUUGUCUACCUUCCAAAAGGAAAAAAAAAAAAAGAAAUGGCAGUAUGCAAUUUAUCGACAGGAAAGUAUCCUGUGAUAUAUGUCAUUGUCCUAGCCCAGUGGCAUCUUCAAGGAAAAAUAUGACAAAUGCACUGAAACCUCUGAAAUUAAGAGACGAGCCAAGAAAAGGUGACGAUGUAGAACUCUAGCGUCCGCUUAAGAAUCCCGAGAAAAUACGAUGCUUGCUGACAAGAGUAUGUAAUAAAAAAUUAUGGUCCUCCACAAGUAAGAGGCAAGUUUGACCUCCAGCACAUCUAGGAUGAAGCAAAGGGUUACCUUAAGAUCACAUCUUUGCAAUUACAGUGCUUAUAUAGUCGACCAUAAUAUCAAAAUUAUACAAGCAAAUAAGAGGUAGUUGUUUCUUCUAAUCAUGUCAAAACUUUAAGGGGUGCUAAUGCUGCUUUAUUGCAUUUGAAGACGUGGGUGGCACGCUGCUAUCUUGAGAAAUUAUUGCUUUCUCCAUGAUAACCGUAAACCUG